rnacentral:tRNA from 1 species
GCUCCAGUGGCACAAUAGGUUAGCACAUGGCACUUAUACAAUAGAACAGGCAGAGCAAUGCCAAGGUUGUGAGUUUGAGCCUCACUGGAGCA